CGAAGAUCUGCGGGGGAGGAGGAGGGUCCAGGAAGUGUUCUGAUGAUCAGAUUUGGAGUUGGAAUGGAGUAACCAAGGACAGCCUUGUCUCUUUGGAUGGCUGAGGAUGGGCAUGAGGAAAGUACAGUCCCGUGGUUAUCCAGAAUACACCCCAGUUGAUGUCGCCAGGGUCAGUGAGCCCCAUACAGUCAAAGAGGAGCAGACAUGGGGGCCAGUAGCACCCCUCAGUAGCCCAGCCCCGCUCCUCGCCGUGGAUGGACACAUACAAACCCGCUCCCCACCGCGGAUGGGUACGUACAAACUCCGUUCCUCACUGUGGACAGGCGUGUACAAACCCCAGCGGGGACUUUCUGCACUUC
rnacentral:lncRNA from 1 species